rnacentral:rRNA from 1 species
CCCGUAACGAGCGUAACCCUUGUCCUUAGUUACCAGCACGUUAUGGUGGGCACUCUCAGGAGACUGCCGGUGACAAACCGGAUGAAGGUGGGGAUGACGUCCAGUCAUCAUGGCCCUUAUGGCCUGGGCUACACACGUGCUACUUUGGUCGGUACAGAGGGUUGCCAAGCCGCGAGGUGGAGCUAAUCUCACAAAACCGAUCGUAGUCCGGAUCGCAGUCUGCAACUCGACUGCGUGAAGUCGGAAUCGCUCGUAAUCGCGAAUCAGAAUGUCGCGGUGAAUACUUU